CUCAAGAGUGAGAACCUUUGCUCUGCAAUAAGUGUGCUGAUUAUAGAUGGGACCAUAAUUGCAGGCAGCAGAGAUUUCCUGUUUGGUUUGAUUUUAGAGCGGUGCAGAUUUAGAGAUUUAUGCCUUGUGGAGACAAGAAACUUGUGUGGAAGUUUUCAAACAAACCAACUACUGAGCCCCUGUGCCAUGGUCCAUCAUUCUGGCUCUACAGAGUUCACUCAUACUGUCCUGGAGCUGCAAAGAGUGAUAGUGUGCAAGUCUAAUAGCUUGCUUGCAAACCACUGUGAACUGAAAGACAGUAAAUCUUCCUUAAAACUAAAAUUAUCUGGGGAUCUACUGGAAAUUCACCAGUCAAGUUUAAGAAAUUUCCACUCCACAGACAUUAGGCAGUGAAUUUCACCCUUGCUGGAGGAAAGAAGGGGAGAAGGUCUGAAAAGAAAACCCACCAAACUGAAAAAUAGAUUAAUGUAGGGCCAGCUGGGGAGAGCUCCUUUCUCCAGAGAACUAUGUUUUAGUGUCAUCAACCAGGGCAGACACAUGAGGGACUCCACAGCAGCUGUGCAUCAGAGAAUUCACACACAGAAGCAGCGUUAACAACUCUCUCAGCUGAAGUAUCUUAGACAGGAUAAUGUCAUUUUUACAUACCAGAGACAUCAAUUCAGCACAUGGCACCACUGGAGGUGAGCUGAAUGUUCUUCAAACAGCAGUAUGAACACACUUUGCAAAUCUGCACAGUACUAGAACCACUCCAAAAUGGGGACAAAACAUCACUAUGCA